GACGAACGCUGGCGGCGUGCCUAAUACAUGCAAGUCGAGCGAAUGGAUGGGAGCUUGCUCCCUGAAGUUAGCGGCGGACGGGUGAGUAACACGUGGGCAACCUGCCUGUAAGACUGGGAUAACUUCGGGAAACCGGAGCUAAUACCGGAUACAUUCUUUCUUCGCCUGAAGAAAGAUGGAAAGAUGGUUUCGACUAUCACUUACAGAUGGGCCCGCGGCGCAUUAGCUAGUUGGUGAGGUAACGGCUCACCAAGGCAACGAUGCGUAGCCGACCUGAGAGGGUUGUCAGCCCCACUGGGACGGGGACACGGCCCAGACUCAUACGGAGAUAAGCAGUCGGGAAUAUUCCGCAAUGGGCGAAAGUCUGACGGAUCAACGCCGCGUGAGCGACGAAGGCCUUCGGGUCGUAAAGCUCUGUUGUUAGGGAAGAACAAGUACCAGAGUAACUGCUGGUACCUUGACGGUACCUAACCAGAAAGCGACGGCUAACUACGUGCCAGCCGCCGCAGUAACAC
rnacentral:rRNA from 1 species